rnacentral:tRNA from 1 species
GCCUAGCUAGCUCAGUCAGAAGAGCAUGUGACUUUUGAUCUUGGGGUAAUGGGUUUGAGCCUUAUGUUGGGUG